CCCACUGGAGGAUAGGAAGUGAAAAUUCCAUUACUUGGGUGCAAUUUGCAUAGAACUGCAAAUAAAAGAAUAAAAUGCACUUUAUAAAAAGGGAACUAAAAUAAUUAAAAACCCAUGACAAUAAAUCCCAUAUAUUAAAAGGCAGCGAGGGGAACAAUCUCUUGGGCAAUAAAAGUGCUCCUAACAUUUCGGUAAUGUGCCUUCUUCAGAGGCGGGUAAUAGAACGACUAAAAGCAGGGAGUAUUUAUACAGGAAGUGGGAGUUUCCAACGAAUCUGAACUUCCAAUUCCUGAGUGUUUGAGUGGACUCACCUGUAGGUAAUAAAAGGAAACACCUGUCUUCAUUUGAAGAUAAUGACCGUAACUUCCGAUACGUGUCUGUAAGAUUUUUUUGUACUUUCAGGGAAGUACAGGUAAAGUAAAGGAAUUAGAACACACUGGAGUAAAAACAAUAGUGAAUAAAUAAUCCUUCAUUAUUUGUUGAAAGCCUUUAUUAAAAACACCAAAGGUGUGUUGAAACCAUAUGUGCUGUGUCCUUAUAGUGAAAAAUGUGAGGAUCUCCUGUAAUAGAUACGGCAUUUCACUCUUGUGUUUUUCUCCAAUUUAGAAGUUUAAAAUCCAAGUGUAAUAAAAUUAUGGCGCUGGCGGAUUAGGUAGAGGAAGGAUAAAGGUUCUGGUUGCCCGUCAUAACAAGUGCACAGGCUCACAAUUUGGUUGAUAUACACUGGUAUCUUCAUGGUCUGUGUUUAAUAAUUUAUUGUAAAAGGUUGGAAUAGGUGUUUGUGUAAAAGACUAUAAGAAAAUUAUUUUGAAAAUUUUUAAAAACGUAUUUUUUUCCCCGGAAAAGGUAAAUGCUGUUAUGGAGAUAUUGCAAUUACUUCCCCCCAAACAGUAGUCAUGGACCAAUUGUAGGAUCCAGUCCUCCAAGAUGUGUGUUUUGGUGGUCCAUUGGGUAGGGUCCUGUGGUUCCACCUGGAAGAGGUCCUCCUGGAUGUGAUUGAGGACAUUUCUAGAAUCUUCCCUCAGGUAUGUGUCAAUUUGUGUAAAUCGAUUUCGAGGUCGAUUUGUUUUGAACACUGCAUGGGUGCCGUGAAGAUCCAGGCUCCUGAAAAUAUCCUUUUUGUGAGUCUGAACAACCUCUGGAAUUGUUUUUUAAUCAUUGUUAUUCCCCGACCUACUGAGCCGAGCUUGAGGGCAGGACUCCAUGUCACUCGAGGUCCUCGUGACAGGACGUGCUGCGGUUUGAG
ensembl:lncRNA